rnacentral:lncRNA from 1 species
AGAGAAAGAUCAUGCCAGGGCUCCCGAGUGCUAAUGAAUUAAUGGAGAAGCCAAGUUAAUGAGUGCCGAGGAGGAGCUGUUGUCAGAGGUUUCGAGGUAAUAGUGAAGAGUUAUGGAGCCAGGAGGCAGAGCCUGGAGUGUUCAAAGUGGCCCCCAUGGCUCUAGAAAGGGAAGGUAGAAAAAUUAGGGAGAUAGGUCUCCAGGCUAGGUAAAGAGUCAGGAAGACAAGGAGAAUGCUGAGAACGAUGGGAGUCCUGCAGCCCUGGAGAGAUGUUGAAGGUGGAAGACGGAGAGCCCAUGGGGAGCUUGCACACUAUUAUUUGUAUAGGAAUAGGGAGAAAGAAAUGCAAGUGCAGGAGCAGAGUCUUUCAAGACUGCUCUCACCAGAUUGCCAUUGCUUUCCUUGGUGUGUCUCUUGCUUCCACUUAUCAACAACCCCUCAUGUGGACAUUAGUUAUGAUGCAGAAUUGUUUUCUUACCUUGGUGCCU